UACGUAGGGUGCAAGCGUUGUCCGGAAUUAUUGGGCGUAAAGAGCUCGUAGGCGGUUUGUCGCGUCUGCUGUGAAAACUCGGGGCUUAACCCCGGGCCUGCAGUGGGUACGGGCAGACUAGAGUGCGGUAGGGGAGACUGGAAUUCCUGGUGUAGCGGUGAAAUGCGCAGAUAUCAGGAGGAACACCAGUGGCGAAGGCGGUGCUCUGGGCCGGUACUGACGCUGAGGAGCGAAAGCGUGGGAGCAAACAGG
rnacentral:rRNA from 1 species